AGUCAACAUGCCCAGGGGACGUGGAUAACCUCGGGAAACUGAGGAUAAACCGCGAUAGGCCAUGAUUUCUGGAAUGGUUCAUGGGCGAAAUCUAUAUGGCCCUUGGAUUGGACUGCGGCCGAUCAGGCUGUUGGUGAGGUAAUGGCCCACCAAACCUGUAACCGGUACGGGCUCUGAGAGGAGGAGCCCGGAGAUGGGCACUGAGACAAGGGCCCAGGCCCUAUGGGGCGCAGCAGGCGCGAAAUCUCUGCAAUAGGCGAAAGCUUGACAGGGUUACUCUGAGUGAUUCCCGCUAAGGGGAUCUUUUGGCACCUUUAAAAAUGGUGCAGAAUAAGGGGUGGGCAAGUCUGGUGUCAGCCGCCGCGGUAAUACCAGCACCCCGAGUGGUCGGGACGAUUAUUGGGCCUAAAGCAUCCGUAGCCGGUACUGCAAGUCUUCCGUUAAAUCCACCUGCUUAACAGUUGGGCUGCGGGGGAUACUACAGCGCUAGGAGGCGGGAGAGGCAAGCGGUACUCAAUGGGUAGGGGUAAAAUCCGCUGAUCCAUUGAAGACCACCAGUGGCGAAGGCGGCUUGCCAGAACGCGCUCGACGGUGAGGGAUGAAAGCUGGGGGAGCAAACCGGAUUAGAUACCCGGGUAGUCCCAGCUGUAAACGAUGCAGACUCGGUGAUGGACUAGCUUAAUGCUAGUCCAGUGCCGCA
rnacentral:rRNA from 1 species